ACGGAGGGUGCAAGCGUUGUUCGGAAUUAUUGGGCGUAAAGGGCGCGUAGGCGGUUGUGUAAGUCAGAUGUGAAAUACUUCAGCUUAACUGAAGAACUGCAUUUGAUACUGCAUAACUAGAGUACAGGAGAGGGAAAUGGAAUUCCCGGUGUAGAGGUGAAAUUCGUAGAUAUCGGGAGGAACACCAGUGGCGAAGGCGAUUUCCUGGCCUGAUACUGACGCUGAGGCGCGAAAGCGUGGGGAGCAAACAG
rnacentral:rRNA from 1 species